rnacentral:lncRNA from 1 species
UUAACACAUAUAUGUUGUGACUCUGUUCACUAGUCCUUUGUUGCUUUAUUCAUCAAGCAUAAAAUCCACAGGCAGUGCUGCCAUCUUUUGCUCAUCAGCGUUUCCUAGCGAUUUAUUUUAUUCAUGAAGCAAUAAUUUUUUAUUAGAUUUUAUUUUGCACUAAUUGUUGUACUUCUGGUCAUAAUUAUUUGUUAGGCAUUUUGCUGCCAUCUAUCCUUUUUUGAGGGUUUUAUCAUUAGUAAAUGAAUCAUAUCAAGCAACUUCUAACAAGAGGGUCUAACAUAAUUGCUUUACUAUGUUAGGUUUUUGAAUAUUUGUGGCAUCGCCGAUCAGGCAAACCAUUGAGCAGCUGGUGUUUCUCUGUUUUUUCUUUUUCUUUCUUAUAAGUUGCUUUUAUCUAAUUGAACUCUAAUCUUUUCCCAAACAGCAGUUGCAUUUUCAUUACCGAUUAGUCAACUUAUUUAGUAGCACUCGCUGCACCACUCAUGAGUUUUUUAUAAGUUGAAGUUGAUCAUGAUUUUUGAAUUUGAUUUUGCACCACCCUUUAGGCAACAUUUUGACAAACUUUGACUUGGAGCCACUUCAAAAUGCUUAUGUUGUUAAUUAUAAGUUGCUUUUAGUCUCUUUGAGCAACCUUUUUUUUUACCCUUUCUCACAAUUUGGAUGACUGAUUAGGCAAACUUCGGUUAGCAGUCGCUUCAAAAAUCCUCGAGAAGUCGGGUGUGUUAAUUAUAAGUUGCUUUAGUCUCUUUGAGCAACUUUUCCAACUUCACUCGCAUUUUACUUUUUUAAGUAAAAGUUGCAUCUCUAGCAAAAUUUUGAAUUAGAAGUUGCUAUACUAGUUAGCCUUUUUUGCUUUAUCAUAUAGUUGCUUUAUGACCUGUCUACCAUUGACUAGAAAUUGUAUUAGAGGGUCAAAUUUUGACUAGAACUUGCUUUAUCAUAUACUCCCUCUGAUCCUAAAUUGUUGUCGAAAUAUUACAUGUAUCUAGACGCUUU